rnacentral:lncRNA from 1 species
AAGCUGGAAAGUCCUUAUUGAAAAUCAAAUGUCUACAAAGAUUAAAAUUUUGAGAACUGAUAAUGGACUUGAAUUUUGCAACUCAGAAUUUGAUAAACUUUGUGAAUCAAAUGGAAUCCUAAGACACAAAACUGUCCCAUACACACCUCAACAGAAUGGGGUGGCUGAGAGAAUGAAUAGGACCUUGUUGGAUAAGGUUAGGUGUAUGAUGGUGGGAUCAGGAGUUCCUAAGGUGUUGUGGGGGGAGGCUGUAAUGACAGCUACAUAUAUAGUGAAUAGAACCCCUUCUAGUGCUUUGGAAGGUAAGACACCUGAAGAGAAGUGGUCUGGAAAAAUACCAGACUAUUCCCACCUUAGAAUAUUCGGGUGUACAGCUUAUUGUCACCAGAAUUUGGGGAAACUGGAGCCAAGGGCUCAGAAAUGUGUGUUCUUAGGUUAUCCUGAAGGAAUUAAGGGCUAUAGGUUAUGGGCUAGAGGUCAAGGAGGGUAUAAAAUGAUAACAAGUAGAGAUGUUACCUUCAAUGAGGAAGAGAUGCCCUGUUUAGAAAAACAAAAGUCUGCAGACCCUGAAAACCCAAGUGUGACAAGGUUUCAGGUGGAGUUGGGAUCUCAAACUGAUUCUGUUCCUAAUAAUGUGAGAGAAAAUGAACCUACACUACCUCAGACUCAAACUGAAUUAGAAAAUUCAGGUGUGGAGGAACAUGAACAAACUGAAAUGGAUGAUCCCAGUCAACAAAGUGAUCUUAGUGACUAUCAAUUGACUAGGGAUAGGCCUAGAAGGAACAUAAGAGAACCUACAAGAUAUGAAGACUAUCUAUCCUAUUCUGUCAUGUCUUAUAAUGACCUAGCCUAUAAGGAACCCAAGACCUAUAGUGAAGCCAUGAGUUGUAACCAGUCUGGCAAGUGGGAAGUUGCCAUGAGAGAAGAGAUGAGUUCUCUAAUGAAGAAUAAAACUUGGGAUCUUGUGCCUAGACCCAAAAAUAAAUCCAUAGUUGACUGUAAAUGGAUUUACAAGGUGAAAGAAGGCAGUUCAGAUAAUGAGCCUGUGAGAUUUAAAGCAAGAUUAGUUGCUAAAGGGUUUACACAAAAACAGGGUGUAGAUUACAAUGAGAUAUUUUCACCCGUUGUAAAAUACACAACUAUAAGAGUCCUACUAGCAUUAGUUGCACAUCACAAUUGGGAAUUAGAACAAAUG